GUUUCCUGAAUUGCCGAUGAAAGCAGAGCUUAUUUCCUCGGAAAUUCCACGAAUUGCACUGAGAACUUCGGAAAGAAGAAAGGCCUUCAAGGAUGGGGCAAGUACUACUCGAUCACAACGAAAGUAAUUUUCUUUUUGAAUUUAACAUUCUGCCAUUUGUGUCGUUACCCUUAAAUGUCCUCACAAUCUCUUUGUUCUUCGUACAAUCAUUAACAAAAAUCCCUGGAAAUGGAACCCCAUGGUCUUUCUUUUUCUCCUCACCGGCCAGAAUUUUGACCACUCUCCAAACAAAUCCUUUCAACCUUAUUUUUCUUCACUACACAUUUCCAAAAAUUUCAUUUCCCUCCUUGGAAAAUCUUCGUGGAUGCUGAAACCUGCGGCUGGGAACCCAUUGUUCUCGAUCAUGUCCAGUGCUGAACCCUCCCAAUGGACUGCUCGGAUCAAGGGUUUAAGGGAGCCAAAUCCUUUCUUAGGAAUGUUUUGGCGAGCAUGGAGGCUGUUUAUCUGAGUCGGAAUUCCACUGAAAAAUCCGUUUUGGAGCUUGUUCGAUCUGUUCAUGAUGAUACAAUUUGUUAUGAUCAUAUUGCAUUUAGAACUUUUGGGGACAUAAUCAGAAAAUACACUGAAUAAUGUUCUUUCAAUUGGAAGAAGCAUGUUCUGCUCUGGCAGGUGUUCUGGGUUCCUUGACAUUCAGAGAUUAAGCAAUUAGCAAGAAGUGACCUUAUUUUUGUGUCUCUGUGCAACUUUAAUAUGAGGUUAUUAAGGAAGGAGAUAGAGGAGGAAGAAGGGAGAGAGAAAAGGUAGAAAAGACUGGGGAUGAGUCUGAAGAUGCAGCAGCCCCCUAUUGAAUAUGGAACCAAUUUUUCUUCCUCGAUAAUCUUUUUUCAUCUAUUUGAGCAAAUAUUUAGCUGAUAUGUGUAUAUGUUCUUUACA